rnacentral:snoRNA from 1 species
UUAUGAUGAUCCUCCAGAUGACGAGUCCGAGCGUGCCCUUGCGAGUUUUCGUCGGGGACCGUGUUGACGAGUCUUUCAAUUUAAUACCAUUCAUGCUUUUCUGACC